AAGGGAGACCUAAUUCAGGUAUGGGAUGAAAAAAAAGUAGUCCCAACCAAGAAUCAAUCCCAAAAGGUCGGAGCGAGGCAAAAUUGGCUUUCAAACUAGGUUCUGGGUUCACAUAAGACCUGAAUCAGGAACAAGGGCUAUUAGCUCAGGUGGUUAGAGCGCACCCCUGAUAAGGGUGAGGCCCCUGGUUCGAGUCCAGGAUGGCCCACCUGCACAGGUGGCAAAAACAAGAGAAGCGAGGAAUCAGCACCUUAUCUUACUUAUAUAGUAAGAGAGAAUGCUGGCUCUGAGUAAAGAGUCCAGAGGAACCUUGAAAACUGCAUAGAGCUAGGUGAAAAAGCCAAAAAAGAAGACCGCAAGGUCAAGCUAAUAAGGGCUAACGGUGGAUACCUAGGCAC
rnacentral:tRNA from 1 species